AUUGAACGCUGGCGGCAUGCUUUACACAUGCAAGUCGAACGGUAACAGGCCUUCGGGUGCUGACGAGUGGCGAACGGGUGAGUAAUGCAUCGGAACGUACCCAGAGGUGGGGGAUAACGCAGCGAAAGCUGUGCUAAUACCGCAUGUGAUCUGAGGAUGAAAUCGGGGGACCGAGCAGCAAUGUUUGGCCUCGCGCCUUUGGAGCGGCCGAUGUCGGAUUAGCUAGUUGGUGGGGUAAGGGCCUACCAAGGCGACGAUCCGUAGCUGGUCUGAGAGGACGACCAGCCACACUGGGACUGAGACACGGCCCAGACUCCUACGGGAGGCAGCAGUGGGGAAUUUUGGACAAUGGGCGCAAGCCUGAUCCAGCAAUGCCGCGUGCGGGAAGAAGGCCUUCGGGUUGUAAACCGCUUUUGGCAGGAACGAAACGGUGUCCGCUAAUACCGGGCGCUAAUGACGGUACCUGCAGAAUAAGCACCGGCUAACUACGUG
rnacentral:rRNA from 1 species